GGCGGCAGGCCUAACACAUGCAAGUCGAGCGGUAACAUCUCUAGCUUGCUAGAAGAUGACGAGCGGCGGACGGGUGAGUAACGCGUAGAAAUCUACCUAGUAGUGGGGGAUAGCCCAGAGAAAUUUGGAUUAAUACCGCAUACGCCCUACGGGGGAAANCGGGGGAUCUUCGGACCUCGUGCUAUUAGAUGAGUCUGCGUCGGAUUAGCUUGUUGGUGAGGUAAUGGCUCACCAAGGCGACGAUCCGUAGCUGGUCUGAGAGGAUGACCAGCCACACUGGAACUGAGACACGGUCCAGACUCCUACGGGAGGCAGCAGUGGGGAAUAUUGCACAAUGGGCGCAAGCCUGAUGCAGCCAUGCCGCGUGUGUGAAGAAGGCCUUAGGGUUGUAAAGCACUUUCAGCAGUGAGGAAAGGGGUGUCGUUAAUAGCGCCAUCCUGUGACGUUAACUGCAGAAGAAGGACCGGCUAACUCCGUG
rnacentral:rRNA from 1 species